GAGAUUUACCUAAUUUGUGAAUAAAAACCAAAAACAAAUCACUGGUACGAUGUUCAUAGGAAUGAAUAUAAAGUAUUGUGAAUGCCACUAAAGUGAAUUUACAGGCUUUAUUAGAACAAAUAUUUGGAAACAUAUUGUUUGCCAUAUUUGUUGAGCUUUAAUUAAUAUUCAUAGGUACUUGUUCUACAAUUAGCUUUCAUUGGGACCACACCUGUUCCACUUGCAGUCAGUGGAAAAUGCUCCACUUGACUUCAUUUGGGGGUAGGACUGAGCCUUUUAUUCAUAAAUUUUUCUUUCACUGAAGUGAUUUUCUAUGCUGCAUUACAGGCCAAACAGGCUUUAACUUUCACUGUGGUUGUGCUUGGUGAAACACAGCUAUCAGGUCAGUUCCAUUCCCCGCUACCCAUUGUGCAAUGGGAAGAAUGUACUUCACUCAGUUCUCUAGGAAGGUCAGUGGGCCAGAUCCUCAGCAGUGUAAACCAGUGUAGCUUCAGAGUCUAGCUCACUAAUGCAAAUGAAUGUUUUGUCUGUUUUGAAGUUACCCCCCCCACCACCACCACACUCUUUGAAUGCCUUGAUAUUGACCUUCUCUAAUUUUUCUUUUUUAUAGAAUAUUUAUGGCCUUUAUAUUUAUGUAGAUAAAUAAGGUGCAGAUCUUGCCCUCAGUUUAAUCCAUGCAGCCCCAUUGUCCUCUCCAUUUGUCACUUAAUCUUGUUCCUGUUUGUCACAAACUGCUUCUGAUUAGUUCCAAUACAAUUUGAUUAGUUCUUCUGUGGUACAAAAACUCCUGAAAACCUGCAGAAGUCAAGGUAGUUAAAAAUAAUGAGAGGUUGUUGAUUGUUUUUUCCUUAACAAGUGUCACUUGAGCAUGUCCUGUAUAUUCACCAACAUUUCUUAAACAUCAUUUCCAUUAGUAUAUUUCACGAGCCCACAUAGCCUUCCUACUCUUCAUUUACUAGUGUGUAUGGGGGUGUAUGGAACAAUAUUGCUGAUUGCCAUGGCAGCAUGGUGCAUAUCUGCAGCUAUCAUUAAUUCUUAAUGGAAGGGUUCAGGCCGCAAGGAACCCAUAAGUAAAGGAAGCCAAUUUAAUCUUUAAUGGAAAUUGGUUUUAAAAAUAGACAUUGCAAAAAGAGACAAAUGAUAACUAGUGUUACACUUGUGAAUCUCAUGAAUGGCUAGAACAUCUUAGAAGUUCAGAUUUUCUCACUGGCCAUUUUAACCCUUUGUGACUUAUUUCACAAUAAUUUUUAUGCAUAUCUUCUCCUGUCAGAUGAAUGUGCUGAAUUCUGGAAUCAGUAGUCCUUCAUGUAGUAAGGUAUUAAGACAGUAAAAUGUAGGUGGUUCUUUAUGAAUGUGAUGUGCUACUGGGUUUAUUUUAGAGGGAAAGACCAAAACAUUUCUGAAUGCAUUGUAAAAAAUGGAGAGACUUUUAGCAAGGACAGUUGAAUAGUUUGUCUUCAGAGACCCCAUAUGGCUAACAGUGCCUCGCCUACAAUUAUUUACCCUGGCAAUCUUUCUCGUGAUUCAUUUUCUAUGCUUGUUUAGUCUAAAGCUUCCCCUGGGUAGAGACUGCCUGCUGUACCCGAUUUAUAGAUGGUGGCUAUCAUGGUUAUCAUUUAAGAAUUAAUUGUUUGUAACAGACACAUUCUCAAGAAAGAAUAGGGAUGAGUAGUACUUAAGCCCUAUUCAGUGUUCAACUCCUGAGCAUGACAAAUUUAGGCUGAUUUCUUUUUUUAAAAAAGCAAGGUGGAGACAAGUGAAUUUCCAUAAUGUCUGUAGAAUUAAACCUUUUCUCCAUUUUUGACUGCUCACAGAGGCAAUGGCUUCAAGGCUUUCAAGAUCUGCAUAGUAAUUCCUUACUUUUUUAGUCCUUGGACUCAGUUCUCCACUCUGUUACACUGGUUUAAAACCAGUAUUAUUCUACCAGUGCUCAGGGUAACACUGGUGCAAAACUAGCAUAAUGGAGCAGAAAAUCAGGUCCUUUUUGUUUUUAUAUCACAAAACAAUAUUUCAUUUCAAUCCAUCAUACAAUGUUACAAGAAAAAAACCUAGUAGUUUCCUUUAAAGAUGACUAAGCUGUACUACCUUAGGGCCUGAUCCUGCAAAUGCUUACACGUGUGAGUUGUUUUGCUCAUGGGAGAAGUCCCAUUGAACUACUCAGGUAGUCAUGUAUAAGUGUUUGCAGAACUAUCCCCAACCCAGCACAGCCAAUGGGACUUACGCCCCUUCUUAAAGUGAAGGGCAUGUUUGAGUGCUUUGCUGAAUAAGAAAGGAUUGCCGAGCCAGGGCCUAAAAGGAUGUUUAAUAAAACCAAAAAUGUAAUAAAGGAAAUCUGCCAUAGUUUCAGCAUCUCUAUAACUAAAGAAGGAUCUCCCAGGCCGAGAUGCUACUUCCACAGAAAGUCCCGAUUAAUGAUGUCGGACAGCCUGGGACACGAACUGCAGCUCAGCAUUUGGAUGCCCCGGAAAGGCUUGGAAAGUUAUUGUUGGGUACAGCUGAUUAUUAUUUUAAGGCAGGGUGUAGUUGGUCCCAGGCAUGUGUAGGAUCUGAAGGAAGGAUUGCGGAGGCCACCUAAUGAUGGGAAACGGAAGUUGUAGAAGGUCAAAGUUUCAGGCCCUUUUGGAAACAUACUACUAGUCUGAGCACAUGGAGCACCCUGCGUGUAUAAAAAAGGAGAGGGCAGUCAUACAUGUGCAUUAAGGCAGCUUUUUCUGCUAACCUUCAGGGUCAGCAUUUGUAAAGAAAUCAUGUAAAGAGUGCUUAUGUUACCAAAAAAUCAUAACUCUGACUAUACGACGUGGAUUCUUACAACAGCUUUAAGAGUCUCCUGCUUUUCUGAUGUAUUGAGACACCUAGCGUCAUUUCCUGUGGCUCAGACUUUGCCAUCAAACUACAUUUAAUUGUUCUUUUAAAUGACUUCAAAAAGCUUAAAAAAAAGUGUGUGUGAGAGAUAUACUCUUCUCUUCUUAGUAAUGCGAUAGAGACUACUGAUUAAAAUAUCUAUUCUAUUACUCUGAAGCUUUGCUUUGAGGAAAUUGACUCCACCUAAGUGUACUAGAUGAAACUGAAUGCCAUAGUAAUGCUUAAUAACAUGUAUAUAUUUUGCUAGACUAACGUGAGUUGGGAUGGAGAUAAACUUCUUUGCGUACAGAAAGGAGAAAAAGAAGGCCGUGGUUGGACCCAGUGGAUUGAAGGAGAUGAAAUGCAUCUGGAGAUAAGAGUAGGCGGUGUCAAAUGUAAACAAGUCUUUAAGAAGGUACAGUGAACCUAAUCUGCCCAUUGCUGAUACGGAGAUGAAGACGAACAGAAUAGAAUGUAUGGACUUGCUACCAAAGCGCCACAUGCUCUUAGUGCCCAAGUAUAUCCUUAACAUCUAGCGAGCAGAACCCUGUGAACAUCUGUGCACAGGAAAUUAGAACUGUGUAGUGCUGUCUUUGCAAAAAGGAUUUUUUUUUAAAGAAAUCAUUCUAAAUAAACAAUCAUUUUUAAAAAUGCCAAUUAAAGAUACUGAAAAUCA